rnacentral:rRNA from 1 species
AUUGAACGCUGGCGGCAGGCCUAACACAUGCAAGUCGAGCGGAUGAGAGGAGCUUGCUUCUCGAUUCAGCGGCGGACGGGUGAGUAAUGCCUAGGAAUCUGCCUGGUAGUGGGGGACAACGUUUCGAAAGGAACGCUAAUACCGCAUACGUCCUACGGGAGAAAGCAGGGGACCUUCGGGCCUUGCGCUAUCAGAUGAGCCUAGGUCGGAUUAGCUAGUUGGUGAGGUAAGGGCUCACCAAGGCGACGAGCCGUAACUGGUCUGAGAGGAUGAUCAGUCACACUGGAACUGAGACACGGUCCAGACUCCUACGGGAGGCAGCAGUGGGGAAUAUUGGACAAUGGGCGAAAGCCUGAUCCAGCCAUGCCGCGUGUGUGAAGAAGGUCUUCGGAUUGUAAAGCACUUUAAGUUGGGAGGAAGGGUUGUAGAUUAAUACUCUGCAAUUUUGACGUUACCGACAGAAUAAGCACCGGCUAACUCUGUGCCAGCAGCCGCCGUAACAC